CUUCCUGUAUUAUUCAAUAUUUUGCCCAUAGAAUCCUUCGAUAUUAAAUUUAGAAAAAGCUGGCAAUAACAGUAAAGCCAUAUUAUGAGCCUUAAGGAUAAUUGAGAUCAUUAAGGUCCCUGAAAGUGGCUACAUUA
ensembl:snoRNA